GGCCUACGGGACGCAGCAGUGGGGAAUAUUGCACAAUGGGGGAAACCCUGAUGCAGCGACGCCGCGUGAGUGAAGAAGUAAUUCGUUAUGUAAAGCUCUAUCAGCAGGGAAGAAAAUGACGGUACCUGAGUAAGAAGCCCCGGCUAACUACGUGCCAGCAGCCGCGGUAAUACGUAGGGGGCAAGCGUUAUCCGGAUUUACUGGGUGUAAAGGGAGCGUAGACGGCAGUGCAAGUCUGGAGUGAGAGGCGGUGGCGCAACCCCCGGACUGCUCUGGCAACUGGACGGCUGGAGUGCAG
rnacentral:rRNA from 1 species